rnacentral:rRNA from 1 species
GGACCCGCACAAGUAGCGGAGCAUGUGGUUUAAUUCGAAGCAACGCGAAGAACCUUACCUAAGCUUGACAUCCCUCUGAAAGCCCCUUAAUCGGGGCCCCUCUUCGGAGCAGAGGUGACAGGUGGUGCAUGGUUGUCGUCAGCUCGUGUCGUGAGAUGUUGGGUUAAGUCCCGCAACGAGCGCAACCCUUGUCUUUAGUUGCCAGCAGCUUGGCUGGGCACUCUAGAGAGACUGCCGAGGAUAACUCGGAGGAAGGUGGGGAUGACGUCAAAUCAUCAUGCCCCUUAUGCUUAGGGCUACACACGUGCUACAAUGGCUGUUACAAAGGGUUGCCAAGCCGCGAGGCGGAGCUAAUCCCAUAAAGACAGUCUAAGUUCGGAUUGCAGGCUGAAACUCGCCUGCAUGAAGCUGGAGUUACUAGUAAUCGCAGAUCAGAAUGCUGCGGUGAAUGCGUUCCCGGGUCUU